GCUUUCCUGUGGCUCAGUCAGUAGAGCAUUGCACUAUGCAACGCAAAGGUCCUGGGUUCAAACCCCAGGGAAAACA